ACUUACAUCGAACGUAUAAAUGGAUUAAUUAAUACGUUCAUCAAUUUUGAGAAGGCAAGCGAUUUAUUGGGUUAUUUUCUGUCGGUCACACGUGACCUUUACAGUUUUUACGUACAUAUUCGGAUUUGCACCUGCUGCGCAAUAUUGUUUAAUAUAAAGCAAGAAAAAGGCCGAUGGAAAUCGAAAGAUGUGCAAGAGGCGCCGGGUCCCCUUAACAAUAAAUUGGAGGUGUACGCUGUCGCUAUAAAAAGUUACAGGUUCGUGGGAAUUAAUAAUGGAUAAAGAGUCCAGAGAUAAACCGUUAAUGGAACGAAGCUCAUGUUCUACGACUCUUGUAAGGAACAAGCACAUCGACAAGUUGAUGCUCCUUCGUAAUGGAAAUUGUGUCGAGUUCAAUCGUGAUAUAUCUACUAACACGAUAAGUUAAAUAUGUAAUCUCCAUUGAAUGAGAGAUUUGUAUAUUUACAAGAUGCUAAUACAUGUACCUGUGUAGAAACACGAGCACGUGAGACAUUGUUAGACACGUAUCUCGUUCUGUUUGAUGGGUGCACCGUAGUAUGUAAACGAUGACGUCGCUAACAAAGUUACACAAAGAUUGUCAAAAAAAAUUUGUAUCCUGAUAAUUAAACGAUUAUCCUAUUCGUCA